CUUCCCUGGGGGUGCUGGUA
rnacentral:miRNA from 1 species